UACGGGGGGAGCAAGCGUUGUUCGGAUUUACUGGGCGUAAAGGGCGCGUAGGCGGUCGUGACAAGUCACUUGUGAAAUCUCCGAGCGUUAACUCGGAACGGUCAAGUGAUACUGCUGUGCUAGAGUGCAGAAGGGGCAAUCGGAAUUCUUGGUGUAGCGGUGAAAUGCGUAGAUAUCAAGAGGAACACCUGAGGUGAAGACGGGUUGCUGGGCUGACACUGACGCUGAGGCGCGAAAGCUAGGGUAGCAAACGGG
rnacentral:rRNA from 1 species